UACGUAGGUGGCAAGCGUUGUCCGGAUUUACUGGGCGUAAAGAGCGCGCAGGCGGUCGGAUCAGUCGAAUGUGAAAGCCCCCGGCUCAACUGGGGAGGGUCAUUCGAUACUGUCCGACUCGAAGGCAGGAGAGGGAAGCGGAAUUCCCGGUGUAGUGGUGAAAUGCGUAGAUAUCGGGAGGAACACCAGUGGCGAAGGCGGCUUUCUGGCCUGUUCUUGACGCUGAGGAGCGAAAGCGUGGGGAGCAAACAGG
rnacentral:rRNA from 1 species